GGGGUUGUAGCUCAGUUGUAGAGCACUUGUCUCACAAGCAUGAGGCACUGGAUUCGAUCCUCAGCACCA
rnacentral:tRNA from 1 species